rnacentral:rRNA from 1 species
ACGGGAGGCAGCAGUGGGGGAUAUUGCACAAUGGGGGAAACCCUGAUGCAGCGACGCCGCGUGAGUGAUGAAGUAUUUCGGUAUGUAAAGCUCUAUCAGCAGGGAAGAAAAUGACGGUACCUGACUAAGAAGCUCCGGCUAAAUACGUGCCAGCAGCCGCGGUAAUACGUAUGGAGCAAGCGUUAUCCGGAUUUACUGGGUGUAAAGGGAGCGUAGACGGUGACGCAAGUCUGAAGUGAAAGGUGUGGGCUCAACCCGCAAACUGCUUUGGAAACUGUGUGACUAGAGUGUCGGAGAGGUAAGUGGAAUUCCUAGUGUAGCGGUGAAAUGCGUAGAUAUUAGGAGGAACACCAGUGGCGAAGGCGGCUUACUGGACGAUAACUGACGCUGAGGCGCGAAAGCGUGGGGAGCGAACAGGAUUAGAUACCCUGGUA